rnacentral:tmRNA from 1 species
GGGGGCGACGGGUUUCGACGGGGGAUUGGUUACAGGAGAAGCGAGCCGGGGAAGCCACUAACCCCGUAAAACAAAGUGGCGAAAAAAUAAACGCCAACAACGAGCGCGUAGCUCUGGCCGCGUAAGCGAGCCGGCCAGCGUCUCUAGCUCGGCCCGCCCGCGGCUGGGUUAGGGGCGGAAAAGGAAGCGGGCUGCCCGCAGGAACGUGCCUCCCGUUCCGGCGGAAAAAAUAAGGAGGCUGGCUACCAGGUUAGCCGGGCUGCGGGCGACCGGGUAGCGAGAAAAAAGCGCAGCCUGCGCUCGGAGAAGCUCCUGUGGUCGGUCUCUCGGACGAGGGUUCGAUUCCCUCCGCCUCCACCA